rnacentral:rRNA from 1 species
GACGAACGCUGGCGGCGUGCUUAACACAUGCAAGUCGAACGGAAAGGCCCUGCUUUUGUGGGGUGCUCGAGUGGCGAACGGGUGAGUAACACGUGAGUAACCUGCCCUUGUCUUUGGGAUAACUUCAGGAAACUGGGGCUAAUACCGGAUAGGAGCUCCUGCUGCAUGGUGGGGGUUGGAAAGUUUUGGCGGUUGGGGAUGGACUCGCGGCUUAUCAGCUUGUUGGUGGGGUAGUGGCUUACCAAGGCUUUGACGGGUAGCCGGCCUGAGAGGGUGACCGGCCACAUUGGGACUGAGAUACGGCCCAGACUCCUACGGGAGGCAGCAGUGGGGAAUAUUGCACAAUGGGCGGAAGCCUGAUGCAGCAACGCCGCGUGCGUGAUGACGGCCUUCGGGUUGUAAACCGCUUUCGCCUGUGACGAAGCGUGAGUGACGGUAAUGGGUAAAGAAGCACCGGCUAACUACGUG